CGUCUUCUAUACUAAAUAGAUUAAUCUAGAAUGCGAAUUUUUUUCGAUCCAAGGUCACUGAACAUCCCGAUCCUUUGUUCGAAUCAAAUCAAAAUUUCCAUCAAAAUAUCUACAUAUACACAGGUACGUAUGGAAUCGUGAAUGCUGAAGAAAAAAAGAAAAUAAACAUUACUACAUAUGUACAAGAAUAUCGUACACGUGUAAAAAAUGUCAUCAAACACGCGCAAAAAUAUUCAGAUCAACUGUACAUAAAUAAUAUUAUAUACAUAUUAUAGAAAUGAAUAAAAAAAUUCGUUAUAGACGUAAACGACCCCGUUACAAGGUAAAUACCCAGCGUAUCUUCGAAUACACUGUGUAGUUGUAGGUACACGAUUCCCUAAACAUAGUGUCAUCUUUUUUCUCGUAGGUCAACAACUAGCUACAUCAAAAUUGCGUAAAUAUAUCACCACUUGAUCCUCAUUCGCAUGUAAAUAAAAUCCGGAUUUUGCAUAAUUAUUGUCAUCCGUUUAAUAGUAUAAAAGCUUCCCUGUGCUUCGAUCAACUCAAUCGAAUUCGUUUGCGCUUCGCGAAUACUUCUCAGUUCGUGCUCAUCUUUUUUCGCUUUUUUCACAUUUUUUUCGUUUGAUUUUUUUCAAACUUUUCAACUCAAUCAAGAUGAAAUUCUUCGCUUUCUUCGUUUUGAUGAUGAUCGUUGUCGUCCAAGCCUUCGCUUUACCAGCUGUUCCAGCUCCAGGCCCAGGCCCACUUGGACCCGAAUCGGCUGCCGCUUUACCAUCAGGAGCUCCAAAGGCCAAACGUGACUUAUACUACUACACUCCAUUGACCGUACCGACUGUCAAAUACUACUACCCAACUUACUACUACUACAACCCAUACGAAAUCAUUGUAUAAGUUACCAAAAAACCCCCCUUUGUAUUAAUUAAGCCGCAGAGACUCAGCAAUUUAUUCUUUAAACAGUAUAUUUUAUUACGAAUUAAAUAUAUUUGGUUUCGAGAAUAUUAUAACUCCUGUGAUAUGCAGUCGAAUAUAUUUAAUUUUUUUUUCUCCGUUUCAUAAUCCUGUAUUGUAUAUUUACCAUGUUUAUUAAAUAUUAAUAAAUUAAUUACGCAAAAUA